rnacentral:rRNA from 1 species
UCGCGAAAACUUUGCAAUACACGGAAGUGUGACAGGGUCAUCCCGAGUGCCGACCGCUGAGGUUGGCUUUUACCCAGUCUAGAAAGCUGGGGGGAAUAAGGAGAGGGCAAGUCUGGUGUCAGCCGCCGCGGUAAUACCAGCUCUUCGAGUGGUGUGGACGUUUAUUGGGCCUAAAGCAUCCGUAGCUGGCUGAGCAAGUCCUCUGUUAAAUCCACCGAUUUAAUCGUUGGUGUGCGGGGGAAACUGUUCGGCUAGGGGACGAGAGAGGCAGACGGUAUUCCCGGGGUAGGGGUGAAAUCCUAUAAUCCCGAGAAGACCACCAGUGGCGAAGGCUGUCUGCUAGAACGCGCCCGACGGUGAGGGAUGAAAGCUGGGGGAGCGAACCGGAUUAGAUACCCGGGUAGUCCCAGCUGUAAACGAUGCAGACUAGGUGUUUGAACGGCCACGUGCCGUUCUAGUGCCGCAGGGAAGCUGUUAAGUCUGGCCGCCGUGGGGAGUACGAUCGACAAGGUUGAAACGUUAAAGGAAUUGGGCGGGGGAGCGACCAAC